rnacentral:tRNA from 1 species
GGGGCUGUGGCACAGUGGUAGAGCCCUCACCUAGCAUGUGCGAGGCCCUGGGUUCAAUCCUCAGCACCACA